AGCAAUCCCAGCGGCGAACGGUCGCGUAACACGUAAGCAACCUGCCCCGAAGACCGGGACAACAGUGAGAAAUCGCUGCUAAUACCGGAUGUGCCCACUCUUUCGCAUGUUAGGGUGAGUAAAUCAAGCAAUUGGCUUCGGGAGGGGCUUGCGGCCUAUCAGCUAGAUGGCGGGGUAGUGGCCCACCAUGGCGACGACGGGUAGCUGGUCUGAGAGGAUGGUCAGCCGGACUGGGACUGAGAUACGGCCCAGACUCCUACGGGGGGCAGCAAUUAGGAAUCUUGCGCAAUGGGCGAAAGCCUGACGCAGCGACGCCGCGUGGAGGAGGAAGGCCUUCGGGUUGUAAACUCCUUUUUCGAGGGAAGAAACACAUGACGGUACCUCGGGAAUAAGCCCCGGCUAACUCCGUGCCAGCAGCCGCGGUAAUACGGAGGGGGCGAGCGUUGUCCGAAGUUACUGGGCGUAAAGCGCGUGUAGGCGGGUUGUCAAGUCCGCUGUGAAAGCCCGAGGCUCAACCUCGGAGGGUCGGUGGAUACUGACAGUCUUGAAGGUGCUAGGGGGAGAUGGAAUUACCGGUGUAGCGGUGAAAUGCGUAGAGAUCGGUAGGAACACCAGUGGCGAAGGCGGUCUCCUGGGGCAUUCUUGACGCUGAGACGCGAAAGCUGGGGGAGCGAACGGGAUUAGAUACCCCGGUAGUCCCAGCCCUAAACGAUGGAUACUAGGUGUCGGGGGUAUCGACCCCCCCGGUGCCGCCGCUAACGCAGUAAGUAUCCCGCCUGGGGAGUACGGCCGCAAGGUUGAAACUC
rnacentral:rRNA from 1 species